rnacentral:rRNA from 1 species
CAGAUGCGAAAGCAGAGCAUAGUGAACCGAUGGUCCGCCUUAGAUGCGGCCAGAGAUUAACGGAUAAAAGUUACCCUGGGGAUAACAGGCUAGUUCCGCCCAAGCGUCCAUAGCGACGGCGGAGUUCGGCACCUCGAUGUCGGCUCACCUUAGCGCGGGGCUGGAGAAGGUCCCAAGCGUAUGGCUGUUCGCCAUUUAAAAAGGUACGCGAGCUGGGUUCAGACCGUUGAGCACCUAAACGUAAGUUUGGUUGCUCAAUCUGUCUGAAUCCCACGAGAUAUCUGUUAUCACAAAUCACUUAAAGGUUUUUUCGUCUAAAAGAUUUGGCUUGUUCGUUAAGUAAGUGCAGACAAGCUAAGGAACCAACCAUAUUACGGCGAUGCCGCAUAGGGAUAUGCGUGCAUACCACUGACUUAUAUCGGAGAAACCCACUGUGUUGUGGGCGACUGCGAGGGAAGGCGAAAGCCGCCCGUAGAGACUGAACGUCAGUUACGAAGAACUCGUAAAGUAACAGUCCGAUCCCUCGAGCAAUUGAGGUAUAUAAAAAACGAAAUGCGUGAGACAGGUUGGUCUCCUAUCUACUACAGGCGUUGAUUCUUGCGGAGGGUCGUCCCUAGUACGAGAGGACCGGGAUGAACUGACCUCUGGUCUGCCUGCUGUUCCACCAGGAGCAUCGCAGGGUAGCUAUGUCGGGUUUAGAUAACUGCUGAAAGCAUAUAAGCGGGAAACUAGCUCCAAGAUUAGGAAUCGUAUGAGACACCUUAAAGAUUAUGAGGUUGAUAGGCUCUAGAUGUACGGUCAGUAAUGACUUCAGUCGAGGAGUACUAAUAUGUCCAGUUUUCUGUGCGG